rnacentral:rRNA from 1 species
UGGGGGAUAUUGCACAAUGGGGGAAACCCUGAUGCAGCGACGCCGCGUGAGUGAAGAAGUAUUUCGGUAUGUAAAGCUCUAUCAGCAGGGAAGAAAUACUGACCGAGAGGUCAGCAGACAGUACCUGAGUAAGAAGCCCCGGCUAACUACGUGCC